rnacentral:snoRNA from 1 species
AGGCCAUUUUAAAGAGGACUCAUGGGACUGUGAAAACAAGAGCUCUUACUACUGUAACCAAAGACCGAAGUUCUCUGUAGGUUGCCCAAGCAUUCAAUGGUGCUAUGUUUUCCUGAGGAGAUAAAAGA